rnacentral:lncRNA from 1 species
AGCCACUGCAGUAAUGCCCUGUAACUAUGUAACAGUAUAACGGAAAUUCUCCCUGACCUCCAAAGAUAGUCAGUUUUGUGUCCUGAAACACAGACCGGUGAUAUUUUCUCUUGUGAUAUGUUCCUGGAUAACAGUUAGCAGAUGCUAAUCUUAUGCAUAUACCUGCCAAAUCCUUUCUUCAAAUUUACAAAGCUUUUUGCCUUAUUGAGAGAAAUAACAAUGUGGAACAGAGAGCUGCAUAAUAAGCAGAUUAAUUUUACUGAUUGCUGUGCUAGAAAAUAAUGCCUUUGUCCAUUGUAAAUCUACUGACUUUAGAUGUCAUCAAUGACUCCCAUUGCGUUGCUUGAAAAAGAUGGUCUUCCAUGUGGGGUAUGGUUAUAUACCCAGAUGUAGUCUUUUCAGCUUCACUCAUGACAGGGAGGGAGACCUUCUAUCUAUCAUUUACUACCAACAAAUACCACUGAAAUGUUCUAAGGCAGAAGAUGCUGCGAGAAAGAACUUCUGCAACAGUUUUGCUGGUUGUGUGGAUAUAUGUCAGCCAAAACUGUCUGCUGCCGCUGUCGUCAAACCUUCAAAAGGUAUUUUCCUGGAGGCUCCUUAUGAAUGAUGUAGACAGUUCAAGUAAGCUUUUUUUAUUUUUUUAUUUUUUCCUACUGCUGUAAGGAAAGACUGCCUACAGUUGGGCACAGCUGUGAGAACAGGCAUUCAUGCCAUUCUGAAGACAGAAAGCUGCUCCUGCAGGGCACUUCUUCACAAGGCUCCUGUGAUGAGGAAGGCUUGUGUGGUAUUGGAAAGCUAUUAGGGAAAAGGUUAAAAUGUAUGAAAUUGUCAGGUAAAGCAGAAACAUUGAUCAUAGCUGUGUUUCUCUUUAAUUCUUCUCAGGUGUGAUAACUCAGAAGUAUCCUUUGAUGUUCAUACGAAUCCAAGCCAUCAUAACUGAUCUAGGACUACACACAUGACUUGCUAUUAACAGUAUUUGAGUUUCAGUGAAAUGUAAUAGCCCAGAGUUUGGUUACCUAAGUCUCAUAUGAACUUUUUUUUUUUUUUUUCUUCAAGUUGCUCCUAACUGACACUCACUCUAGAGCAUGGUGGAAAUCUGGUAUCAGAGGUUCAUCUACCCCAUUUCAAAGAGAUGAUGAUAAGACCUUUUGGUUAAGGACAGGAGCAAAAAACCAGCUGAAUAACAAAAUUGCUUUACUCACAAUAUCAUUAAUGUAGAAAUUUUCUGACAAUUAAUGAUCUGAAAGCUUUGAUUCUUGAAAAGUAAGUGCAGCAGAAAACACCAUUAUAGGAACACAGUGAAUGGACUCUGUAAACACAAAGGGCCUUCUAAAA